GAAAAAAUGUGCUUUGUCACUUACAAAAUACACUGUAGUUCAAUUUAGAUUUGUGGAGAAAGCAUUGUUUUACAGAAGAGUGGAGGAAGAUGACCAUAGUUCAAAAACCUUUUCCAGCCUCGGUCUCUGAGAGAAAUCGUAUUAUAUUGCAGAGCAGCCUGGAGUGGGUGUUUGUAUAUGCUGGAGAUUACAGAGAAGUAAGGUAAGCAGACAUUGAAUCAGCAAAAGAGGGAGAAUUAAAUAGCAUAACUCAUUAAUUCUUCAGUCUUUGUUACAAUUAACUUCAUUUUGUCUCACUGGUUGUUAACAAGCCUAUCUGGAGAAUAUGCAAGCUGGUGUGGGGAAGACCUCUGGGAGGUCUAUAUUUUGAGGAAGGUUUAAGUAUGAAGAAUUACUGGUACCUCAUGGCUUUAUAGAAGGAUGUCUAAGGACAAAGAUGACAAAGAGGGCUUAAAGCAUAGUUUAC
rnacentral:lncRNA from 1 species